AGAAACGAAAAUUUGAGUGUUAACCUUUACCCCGAAGAAGUUAUAGAUAUAAAAGAAGAAUGUGGUUAAAAGGACGUGUUGAAGGCAGCCGAGUCAUUUGGUCGCUGAGUUGGAGUCGAUCGGAAGAUUGUCUUGAAAGUUGGUUGAUGGUAGAGCUUGAAUACCGCGAGGAAGAAGCAUUGGCCUUUUGAAGAGUCGUUGUAAAUGUUGGGAAUGAGAAUUGGAUUAUCGGAAUAUCGUUCUUUCGCCCAAGAAACGCGAAGAAAAUACAUCGUAGCAGAUAAGGAUUUAAUAGGUCUUCAAUCAACUUCAAGAUGUUAGAAGUCAA